AUUGAACGCUGGCGGCAUGCUUUACACAUGCAAGUCGAACGGCAGCACGGGGGCAACCCUGGUGGCGAGUGGCGAACGGGUGAGUAACACAUCGGAACGUGUCCAGUUGUGGGGGAUAACCCAUCGAAAGGUGGGCUAAUACCGCAUGAGCUGGCAACAGGAAAGCGGGGGACCCGCAAGGGCCUUGUGCGAUUGGAGCGGCCGAUGUCCGAUUAGCUAGUUGGGUGGGGUAAAGGCCUACCAAGGCUUCGAUCGGUAGCUGGUCUGAGAGGAUGAUCAGCCACACUGGGACUGAGACACGGCCCAGACUCCUACGGGAGGCAGCAGUGGGG
rnacentral:rRNA from 1 species